rnacentral:rRNA from 1 species
CAUGCAAGUCGAACGAAGUAGCAAUACUUAGUGGCAGACGGGUGAGUAACAUGUAGGUAUCUGCCCUUUGGCCUGGAAUAACACGAGGAAACUUGUGCUAAUACCGGAUAAGUCUUUACGGAGAAAGCUUUAUGCACCAUUGGAUGAGCCUGCAUUUGAUUAGUUUGUUGGUGGGGUAAUGGCCUACCAAGACUGUGAUCAAUAGCUGAUUUGAGAGGAUGAUCAGCCACAUUGGGACUGAGACACGGCCCAAACUCCUACGGGAGGCAGCAGUGGGGAAUCUUGCACAAUGGAGGAAACUCUGAUGCAGCGAUGCCGCGUGAGUGAAGAAGGCCCUUGGGUUGUAAAGCUCUUUCGUCGGGGAAGAAAAUGACUGUACCCGAAUAAGAAGGUCCGGCUAACUUCGUGCCAGCAGCCGCGGUAAUACGAAGGGACCUAGCGUAGUUCGGAAUUACUGGGCUUAAAGAGUUCGUAGGUGGUUGAAAUGGUUGGUGGUGAAAUCCCAGAGCUUAACUCUGGAACUGCCAUCAAAACUUUUCAGCUAGAGUAUGAUAGAGGAAAGCAGAAUUUCUAGUGUAGAGGUGAAAUUCGUAGAUAUUAGAAAGAAUACCAAUUGCGAAGGCAGCUUUCUGGAUCAUUACUGACA